rnacentral:rRNA from 1 species
CUACGGGUCGCUCCAGUGAGGAAUAUUGCACAAUGGAGGAAACUCUGAUGCAGCAACGCCGCGUGGAGGAUGACGCAUUUCGGUGUGUAAACUCCUUUUAUAUGUCAAGAAAAUGACGGUAGCAUAUGAAUAAGCACCGGCUAACUCUGUGCCAGCAGCCGCGGUAAUACGGAGGGUGCAAGCGUUACUCGGAAUCACUGGGCGUAAAGGACGCGUAGGCGGGUUGGAAAGUCAGGUGUGAAAUCCUACAGCUUAACUGUAGAACUGCACUUGAAACUUCUAAUCUAGAGUAUGGGAGGGGGAGAUGGAAUUAGUGGUGUAGGGGUAAAAUCCGUAGAUAUCACUAGGAAUACCUAAAGCGAAGGCGAUCUCCUGGAACAUUACUGACGCUAAGGCGUGAAAGCGUGGGGAGCAAACAGGAUUAGAUACCCGAGUAGUC